rnacentral:lncRNA from 1 species
CUCUCACAUGGAAAUGAUGAAUAGUUGCUCUGCCAUGAUUAGUUCUCAAAAUUGAAAUCUCUCACAAGUUUAGGUAUGACUGUUAUGAAUUAAGAUUUGCUCUAAACCUAAACUUGUGGGAAGAGUACUUGAUCUAAAGUCUAAACGGAUAUGAUAUGGGAAGGUUGAGCUGCUGUUUAUCUGUUCCUAGAGAUGCUAGAAUUCUGGAGAAUUUUAUCUUUAAAAAUCUUUAAAAUAUUGCAUGAUGAGUUCCUGUAUAAUGAGAGUUUAAAAUCCUACCACAGCCAUAUAUACAUGCUUAUUAGACUAUGAACCAUACAUUUACUUUUUACUGCUUAUGAGCAUUGAGUGUGGUCAAGCUGUGUAGACCCUUAGGAGCUUGUCAUGCGGUUAAAAUCAAGAUUCACUUGCACGUUCACUCAUACAUGCUGCUUCUACUCCGAUAGUACGCAUCCACAUACAUCCACUCAUUUCCAUAUCCAGAUUCACCUAAAAUUAUUCUAUUCCUAUCCAGGAGAGAAUAGCCAAAAAUAUUAUCCUAUCCCUGUUAUUCCCCAUGAAAUAAAUGCUCGAGAUAUUUUGGUUACUACCACUUGCUACAUUAUUCCAAGAGGGUGAGUGCUCUGAAAAAAAAAGAAAAGUGAAUACGAGGAAAUAAAAAGGGGCAAGUGCCCGGAACCUCGAAAGAAAAGAAAAAGUAAGACGAGAGGUAAAAAUGGACAAGUGUCCGACAGUAGAAUUAGGGGUACAAGAUACCCACCUGAGAGAAAAGAAAAAGAAAAUAUAGAGCAUCUCAUUCCUCUCAAAAACCUUCAAAGUGCAAGAAAGGUAUGUAUCCCCUCAAAAGAGCAAAAGUAGAAUUAGACUUUCACCAUUAUUUUCAACAUUAUCACCAUCAUCACCAUACACCAUUCAUUCGCCACGCAUGCACAUCUUGAUUUGACUUAUUGACUUGUUUCUCUAGAUCCAUGGUUUGACUAUGCAAUAAAUGUCUUGUAAGUAUGUAUUAGCUGUCUCCCACCUAUGAGCCCAGAUAUCAAAACCUUGUUAGAGUAGGGUGAGAGAGAAGGCAAUAAUAUCAUUAUGCCUCAUACCACAAAUACCACAUACUUUGAGAGAAGGCAUAUAUCAUCACUGCCUUGGUAAGGAUCCAGAAAUACCACAAAAGAGAGACUAGAGAGAGUCAUACAAGGAAUCUCUGAGUUUUAUUUGAAAAUCUACAAAAACUCCAGAGCUAUAGUUGAUCAAAGAACAAGAGACAUGGUGCUUCACUUGACCGUUCUAUCUUUUAACUGCUCAAGACACAAUUGACGGUUGCAAGCCCCAUGGUGGAAGGUAAUAUGAGUAAACUUAAAUCUUAAUAGUUUAUCUUAACCUAGACAUGAGAUCUUGUUUGAACGCAUGAGUACCUUUAAGGCAUAAAACCACAGCAAAAACUCUUGAGUCCAUCUUUGCUCAGGGACGAGCAAGAGGUAAGCUUCGGGGAGUUUUUUGACGGUCCUUAAGUAUCAAAUUUAAUCAUCAAAUAAAUAAAGAAAAGGAUCCAAAUGCAACCAACACCUAGACUUAGGGUUUUAUCUAACAGAAUUCCACAAGUUUUGGUGCUUGUCUAUUUCUGUAGGGGGUUAUCAGAAAAUAUGGAGGAAAGGCCCACACGUCGGGUUUACAUAGAGAUAUUAACGUGCCGCGCAAUUUUCUAUCAUCUAGAAGACUCCAGAAGCCACAGGAACGAACGGAAAGCUGAGCGAGCUCGGGGGCAGGGCGCCCGCCCUCCCCCCUUGGGCGCCUGCCUAGCUAUAGAGUCCAAUCAGGACUCAUUUCGCGGAUUACACUCCACCGAUCUAAAGGAUCAAGGAUAACCGUUCAAUCAAUGUCGGUUUGAUCCGACGGCCCAGAUUCACUUGAGGGGACUAUAUAAGCAGACCCCCUGGCCCCUGGAGGAGGCACCCCUUGAUCCCUAUUCAUUAUUCAUAGAUAGAGCAAAAGCUAGGGUUUGGAGAUGAGAGCUCUCCUCUCAUCUCUAAACUAGAGUAGAUCUAGAUAGUAGCGAGAUGGAGAGCGAGGGAGGUUUGGAGGAGAGGCCGGCCUGUCGGUUCUUCCUCCGGUUGUACUUCGCCAUGAUCAAGCUCUAAUCAAGCUUGCUCAUGGGAUGACUCUGGUAAUCUACUUCUAAUUCAUUAUGCAAUUACUAAUCAUGUAUGUUCUGGUUCACAACUCUUUUGAGUACUUUAAUCUUUAGGACGCUAUAGGUCAGAGUUGUAGUAUUGUCGACAAAAGCUAGUCGGCAGUCUACCCAGGGGUAUACCCACGGUAGUAGUUUAUCGGUAGACGGUGCGGAAGCUACGAACUCGACGGAGAUGCAAGACACAGACAAGGUUUUUAUCCAGGUUCGGCCGCCGUGUGGGCGUAAUACCUACGUCCUGCGUCUGAUUGUAUUGGAUUGUGUUGAGAGAAUCUCCUUGGGGGGUCCCUUGCCUCUCCUUAUAUAGUCCGGAGGGCAGGGUUACAGAUCUGGAAACUAAUCCUAGUCGGUUACAAUUGCCAUAGAUAGUUCGAUAUCAUUCCUAUUCUAACCGACUAGAAUCCUGCUUGAUCUCCACAUCUUGUUUCCUUGCGCGAAACUCCGAGCUUGUCGGAUCAAGCCUCGAACUUGUCUCGUAAUGGGCCAAGCCUCCUGGCCCAAGUCUAGCCGUAAGGGUAUAGGGGUUUAUACCCCCACAGCUAGUCCCCGAGCACCAUGUAUUGUGAAGUAACACGCCGUCUUGAGCUUCUUCAACUAGUGAGGUUUGACAUCUUCAAUAAGCAGGAAGGUCGCCCAAACAGUUGCAACGGUAUUUUGACCAACUCAAAAGAUAAUUGACCAACAUUGACAUCGAAGAAGCAGGUUGUUCGAAGAAUGCAUGGUGCUCUUGAGAAAAAAUAUUUCUUUUCUCGAUGAAGUGUGCCCACUUUACUUUUAUAAAAAGUAUGUCCUUAACAAAAAAGGCAAGCAAGUUCACCACAAGGUGAAGUGUGCCCACUUAGUCCCCGAGCAUGGUAGCAGGUGUCGUAGGCACGUGGUGCCAGGGUCAAAAGAAAAGUCCUCAAAGAAAUUCUUAAACUGAGAUGCAUCGCCAGAUGCAUCGUACCGAUGUAGUCCCCGAGCUUGCUGGAAGGCGAAGUAUGAGCCAUGUAGCAAGGUCUAAAAAAUUCAAGUUUUCUAGUCCCCGAGCAUCUCAUGCUCAUUUGCCAUCGGGUAGACUUACCAACCAGUCCCUGAGCGUGUAGUGCUCGGUGGUUGGUGCAGUACCCAGAUUUCCAAACUGGCAGACUGGUCGACCAGUACCCAAGCAUACAGUGCUCGCUGGUCGGUGCAGUCCCUAGAUCUCCAAACUGGCAGACUGGACGACCAGUCCCCAAGCAUACAAUGCACGGUGGUCGGUGCAGUCCCCAGAUCUCCAAACUGGCAGACUGGACGACCAGUCCCCGAGCAUACAGUGCUCGGUGGUCGGUGCAGUCCCUAGAUCUCCAAACCGGCAGACUGGACGACCAGUCCCCGAGCAUACUGUGCUCGGUGGUCGGUGUAGUUCCCAGGAACGUUGAUCCUCUACCAAUUUUCGUCUGUUAUUUUGAAAAACAUCUCAUCACAUAAAUGGGUGAUGUGACGAGACCUCCUGACGCAUUGUCAGAUGGUUGCGUGAAAAGGUGCACCCGGUAACUGCGCAGCCGCUCUUUGCGUGGUUCAAGAAAAGGAAACCAUUAAUUAUGCAAAAAGGCUGCCGUAUUAACUGCUGGUAAUUGUUGGAAGCCGAAACGCCGCAUCUGCCGCUGGGCCCGCCCACUUCCCAAGAAUGCGGGAAGUGGGAGGGGUGGAGUUGUUACUUAUAAAAGCUUGAUGGUGCCCCCGUAUCGUUUACCCUGCCAUUGCCUUCAAGCUUUCCAUUCUUGCCUUCUGCAACCAUCAUCAAUCCCCCAACCUCGUAGUCAUUCCCACAGUGUUAAUGGCGAAAAGCGACUCCAAGAAGAGGGCCGAGCUGAUGGCUAAGGAAUGGAAGAAGUCUCGGAGCAGCGUGAGGUCCCUCAAUGACCUCGUCGGCAUGGGUCUACUACACAGCCAAGAGCUCGGCGGCUGGAGGGUGCCGGAGGGGGAGAGCUACCCCGACCCCCGUGCCGGUGAGAUAGUGGUUUUCGAAGAUUUUUUCAACAGGGGUUUCGGGGUUCCUGUCCAUCCUUUUCUCCAGGGGCUUCUUCUUUACUAUGAGAUCGGGAUCUGCAAUCUGUACCCGAACUCAAUUCUUCUUAUUUCCACUUUUAUCCAUCUGUGCGAGGCCUAUGUUGGGAUAGAGCCGCACUUCGAUCUUUUCCGCUACCUUUUCUGUUUGAGGAAGAAAGGAGCGGUUGGAGGCUCCAAGAUUGCAGGUGGAGUAUACCUCAAUCUUCGUGACGGGAUGAAGAACUGGUAUCUCAGCUACCCAUGGAACACUUCGCUUACCGAGUGGUACAAGAAGUGGUUCUACGUCAGGGAAGAACCGGGCAGCUCCACGUUCUGCGACGUGGGGUACAUUCCCGAGAAGAGGGUCAGUUCGACAGACCGCCCAGCGUUCACCGGUCAGGUAGAAGACCUGAUGAAGCUGAUCGAUUGGUCGUGUUUGGACGGGCUAGGAGUGGUCGGCAACUUCGUUUGUCGUCGGGUGAUGCCCUGCUAGAAGAGGGUGCACUCGGCGUACGAGUACGCUGGGAGCCAGGACCCGACCAGGAUGAGCCCAGAGGUCUUGGAGAAGGUGGAAGUGCAACAGCUGUUGAACGAGCUGUUCAACUUUGCCGACGGCAGCUUCGUCCGUAGUAGUGAUCGGGUGCAGGCCUUCAAGCUGGGGCGAACAGCUCCCAAGGUAAUGUUGCGAACCGAUUUUGCUUUUUCGAGUACUAGUUCUCCUAGUUGUUGAUUUGUCUUUUAUUUUUGCUGUAGAUUGGAGACGUUGACCAGUGCGCGGUGUUCGUAUCACUGGCACCCGGCAUGGAGAACCCCGCGGGGGUAGACCCGUCGGAAGAGGACGCUGCUCGGUGUGCUUGGUACACCAGCAGUGAGGAAGAGCAGAACCAUCCCGCCCCGACCACCGAAGACAGAGUGGCGGGGAAAAGGCCGCUAGCAGCAAACCCCUCCCCUGCGGAAGCGCUGUCGGCGGAGAGCAGUCAGGCGCCAAAGCGCCGUCGACUCAUCCGGAUCACCGACAACGACGACGAGGAGGAGGAGGCCGCGCCUUCCCUGGUCCGGAGGCCGCGCAGUCGUCCGGACGUAGCGCCGACCACCACUGAUCGGGUGACUAGCGACCCUCCUACACCGCGCAUCGUAGAGACGGGGGCGCAGGCACCAUCCGGUAGGACCAGGAGGAGGUUCACCGCAACACACAGGCGAUCUGACCUGUAAGUGUUUAAUCUUACUUUCGUACUGCGACGUUCUGCAUUUUGCUGCUAUUUCUGACAUUAUUUAAAUGUCGUUUCGUUGUCCAGCGUGGCGUCGGAUGUCGACCCCGACCAGGUCGCUGAAUAGAGGACGGCUGAGCCUGUAGCCGCCGUUGGUGACGCCGCGCCGCAAGCCACGGAGCAGCCUGUGGUGACAACUGCUGCUACGAGCGCCGAGGAAUAACCGGCCCCGGCGAGUGCCGCGGCGAGCAUCCCGACGAGGGAUGAAGAGGCAGCGAGGACCCCUCCACCGAGUAAUGUUGUGGGGGAGGAAGACAGAGUCCCGACUCCUCCAGCCGGAGAAAGGGGGGUCCCAACACCGCCCCGAGCAGAGGCCUCUUCGCCCAUAGGCUCCCCUGGCCUGCACCAGGGGCCAGUGAUGCCUACGACCGCGGCCGGUGGCAGUGCGGCGAACGAGGAGCCCUGGGCGGCCUCUAACGACGACGUGGAGGAGAUCCAGGGUCGUCCCAGUGACGGCCGCCAGCACGUCUACGUGUGGCGCCAACGCGGGGACCACUUCAUUGGACAUGAGGAGCUCGCGGAGACGGAAGAGGCCGCGAGGGUGGAGCGCGCGGCCAAGCGUCUCGUGGACGAGGUUAAGGUAAGUAGUCCUUUGUGCUGCUCGACACUUAUAUGCUGUGUUCCUGGGUUCGACAUAUGUUCUUCUUGCAGGGCGCGAUGAAAACGGUGAAGUACCGGAAGAGGUGCUUCGACCAAAUAGAGCGCAUUGUGGCCGAGAACAAGGCCUUGUCCACGCAGGUGGACCGGCUUCGGUCGGAAGUUGGAGAGAAGGUGGCCGAGAUGAGUGCUCAGGAAGAGCGUCGUUUCGAGCUCACUCGGCGUUUAGCCGACCAGUAUCGGCAGCGGACAGGUGAGUCAUGUACUCCGAGCAUCUGUUUGUGGCCGCGUGGCUAGUUGUGUUGACCAGAGGAUUGUUCCUGUAGACUUGGAAGAGGAGGUCGCGCGCCUCCGGCAAGAGAAGGAACAGCUCGACCAAGAGCUUGCCGGGGCGCUGGAGGCCGGGCGCCGAGCAGGCGAGGAGCUAAGCCACAGGAAUCGGGAAUUGUCUGGUAAUAACCGUGCCACCCCCUUUUUAUUUGGUUGCUUCACAUUCCUUUCCUUGUUCUGACCUCCUGUUUGGUUUGUAGUGCUCAAGGUGAAUACCAAGAAGCAUUUAGACGAUCUGGUCAAGGAUCGGGACUCCUGGAAGGCCAACUGCAUUAAGCUUUGGAAAGGAGUGGCCCCGGUUCUGGACUUGAUCAGCCCUGAGCUUCCUGAAGACCAGCCCCGCGCGCCGAGACUAACGCCAGUCGAGAAGGCGCAACGAGCGUGGGACUGGCUCCAACAGUUCGUCAAGGACGCCGGGGAGUUCGCCGGCGCGCACGUCCUCAGCAUGGUGUGCGCCCACUAUCCCCUGGUCGACCUGUCCAGGCUGGAGAGGGGGUACCCUAAGGAAGUUGGCCCACAGGAGGCAGACGACCUUCGAGCUGGCCUGCUUGACUUGUCGUCGACGGUGAUCGGCGACAUCAACCAAUGCGGGACGGCCACUCCCCCCGACCAGCCGGGGUCAGACAGAUCGGCCAGGGAGUUGUCGGGGGCGUCCAUUGCCGGAGAUGGGCGGUCGACGCCUGCGGUCUCGACCAACCAGGCACCGGUGGCCCCGACCCCUUCGUCUGGGCAGCAAGGCCAAGCGGGUGAUCAGCCCGAGCAGUAGGCCUAUAGGAUAGUCUGUAGGAGUAGACUAGUAUCCGCCCGUCGGGGUGUUUAUUGUAAACUUUGUAUGUAAAGUUUGUAAUAAAAUUUGAUUUUGUCAUGACCAUGAUUCUGAGAGCUGUAAUGUUAUCUGGGUGAUGUAUCACUGUGUUUGAUUGAUAGUCGUUAAGAGUCUUUGCCGCAGAGGAAGACUGUUGUACUCGUCGGAACCUCUGCGUGUAAACAAUACAUAGCGAAAAAGAAAAACUUUUAUUAUUGCUAAUUAUAAGAAACUUACAAGCAAAAGAUACUGGAACUUAUGGAUAAAAACGGCGCAGUUUGUCUAUGUGCCAAGAAAUGGGCACGCGUGUUCCAUCUCGAUAUGCCAGUCUGUAGGAUGUAGGGCGUGUGACCUCGGCGACCACAAAGGGUCCUUCCCAAGGCGUGGAUAACUUGUGCGUUCUUUCCUGGCUUGUUUUCCACUUGAGUACUAGGUCACCGACUGCGAAAGAAUGGUCUUUGAUGUUCCUGUUGUGAUACCGCCUGAUGGCUUCGAGAUACUUUGCUGUUCGAAGACAUGAAAUUAGACGCUUUUCCUCCAUGCAGUUGAUUUCGAGCUCCCUGGCGUUGUCAGCCGUUGAUUGGUCGAAGUUUUCAACUCUUGGAGGUCUGAAGGUUAUAUCAGACGGAAGUACUGCCUCGGAGCCAUACACCAUGAAGUAGGGUGAUACACCUGUAUUGCGACUGGCCUGUGUUCGGAGACCCCAGACCACGGCCGGCAAUUCUUUCAUCCAUGGACCAGGCGCUCUGUCGUUCUCGGUGUACAACCUUUUCUUUAGGGCAUCAAUGAUCAUUCUAUUUGUGCGUUCGACUUGACCGUUUUCUCGUUGGUGAGCAACUGACACGUAUUUUAUGACUAUGCUUCUGUCAUCGCAGAAGUCCCAGAACGUAGUGCCAGUGAACUGAGUGCCCAGGUCGGUGAUUAUACUGUUGGGGAUCCCGAAUCUGUGUAUGAUUUGAUUAAGGAACUCCACGGCCUUCUUGGAGGUUGCUUUGACCAGUGGUGUAACACCCUAGGGGUUUGUCACUUGCUAAGUACUAGGUUUGAGCUCAAACAUGACAAGUUCAUUGGUAAUAAAGAGGUCAAAGUCAAUCUAUGAAAGUAAACCCCAACUUGGGCUUGGUGGAUGCAACCUUGCUUGCAUAUAUGCCUUUUUAAAAGGUAUGCUUUGAUGAUGCUAAUGGAACCUUUUCCAUGUGUCUUAUAUCCAUCCCAAUCUAUGUUGGUCUCUGGAAAAGUUUGGUGAAGUUUGGAAUCAAGAAGUCACAUGAAAUGAUAAGUUAUAUCCUUGUUGGAAUGGCUCUAUUAAGGAAAUAGAAUCAUGGGUCACCAACCAGACCUUGCAAACUUGCUCAUAUGACACUAGAUGAAUUAUACAACAAAAGUCAUGAAGGGUUCAUGUUGAGCUUAUGUAAAGAAAAUGCUGGAAUUGGCCUAAAACCCUAUUUGGAGCUUUAUCAGGAUACUGCUUUGACCAAAGUGAAAGUUUGACUUCGGUUGGAGUUAUGAGGAUUGACCCUAAAUAAAAGUUGUAGUUUUCCUUCUGUAGAAGAAACUUUAUUCAAGGGUCAAGAACCAAAUCAGCCUGCAAAUAGUUCAAACAGAGGCUCAAAGUUCGAAUCAGCUGCUGCUUUUUAGCCCUGAGAAAUAAUUCUAAGUCCCGGAAAGUGACAGCAGCAAGUUAGCUUCUUUGUGACAUUUUAGCAUCCAAAUUCAUAUAGUAACUCAGUUGGAUUCCUUAAUAUGAGUUGGAUUACUCUUCUUGAUGAAAGCAAUGGAUCAAGUAUCAUCAAAUUUAGAGUUCAUUUGGAUAUCUAAAAGUAGCUCCCAAAACAGCAAAUGAUUAUUUUAUCGCUAAACGGACGUCGACCCGUUGGCAUGCCGUGUUCUCAUGUUUUUGUUAAGCAACAAAAGUUGGUCCAAGAAUAGAAGUAGUGGACAAUUACUUGGAAAAGGUCAUGUAAAAAGUUGCAUCAUGUUUGACGUGAUUUGGACCAUCAAUUCUUAGUUUUGCUAAUCACCGUCAAUACGUUGACACUCGUGACUUGGCAUCUAAUUAUCUCAUAAUCUGUUUGUCUAAUGACCAUGGUCCCUUAUUAAAAGUUGUAGUGCACGGUAGGGUGAGCAAACUUCGUUUUUGGCCCAUCUCCAAAUUCGGCCCGGAACAAGCCCAAAAUUGCCUCUCACCUUGCCAACUCCGACGCGCGCCACGUGCUCGACAAAAUACUUCAAAGGACGACGCGUGUCCUGCGCGUGGUCACCAUGCACGGCCCUGUGCCCCACCUCCCCUGUCCUUGCUGCUUCGAUGGCAUAGAGCCGCCCAGGCGCCCUCCACUCCGUUGGCUCACUCUCUGUGCUUCCCCAGUCCUCCCUACUCGCCCCCUCUCGCCCAUCGUUCGCUCUGGAGCUUGCCAUGGCCAGCAGCAGCCAUGGCCGGUGGACAGAGCUCCCUGCCAUCGCUGCUCUCCCUAUUGCGCUUGGUUAAGCCUCAGGCUGGAAAUGUCCCGGCGUCCACCCCGCCUUCCUCCUCCUCCUGCGCAUGCUCGCGUGGCCCAUGGAAGCCGAAGCCGCGCCGGUGUCGGGCCACCAUCGCUGCAGCCGUCGGCAUCCAUGGCUAAGCCACCCUGGACCACCACGGCGUGUGCCGCGGCCACCACGGGGUGCGCACGGCCCCCCUGGUCCUCCCCCGCCACUUCUUCGUCGCCGACGUGCCGCUAAACCGCCGGAAAACGCGAGUCCGAGCACCUCCUCUGUUCUGAUUCGCGUUAGGGAUCUCGCGCGACAAUUCGACGAAAUGGGAGGGGUUAUGUGCGAACCUGUGAGUCAUGUGAAUAGUGUUGCAAGGAUCUAUUCGUUGGAAUCUAGUUUGUGAAAAGUUCAGGGUUCCUGAUGCAAGAUCCAUUUUGCUUUGUUUCAUUCAGAUUUCUAGAUGAUCUUUGAUAAUGCAUAGAAAUUUAUAGAAAAGUCGUAAAAUAGCAAAUGUGAACUUUUUGGAAUUCUUAUGAAAUUCACUAUGCAGUAGAUCUAUAAUAUGGCAUGGUUUAGUUUGAAGUUUUCGUCGUAAAAAUAGAUUUAUGCAGUUAGGUUUUAAUUGCUUGUUAUAUUUGUCUUUUUCAUAACUGCUGUGUUGUUGCCUAAAUAAAUGUGAAAAUAUUGUGACAUGCUUUUCAUAUGAUAUUUGAUGACUGGUACAAUUUUCAUGAAUUUAGGAACAAUAGAUUAAGAGUCAUAAAAAUAACAAAUACCCCGUGUUCCUUUGCUCCUAUUCUGAGUGGAUCUGCAUAUUUGUAUUGUUUGGCUCAGUUAAGUUGUGAAUCAUGCCUUAAUGAAAAUAUAUAAGUUUUAUUACUUUUCAUGAUAUUUCCAAAAAGAUAAAUAGCACAAUUUUCGGUUAAGCACAUGUUUAGUUAUAGUGGUUUAAAGUAUUGUUCCAGUUUCUGUCUAAACCCAGACAGCACUGCAUUGUUUGUAAUGUACGACCUUAUUAAUGGUAGGUUUAGCUGUAGAUGUUUAUAACAAAGAUGUUCACAAUUUCGUAAGAUUUCUAGAAAGUACACAAUCAUAAAUUAUGGACAUGUGAACCUCAAGUUAUAGCUGUUUAAUGUAGCAUGACAGAUUCUGUCUAUGUUUUGGACAGAGAUGCCUUCAUGGGAUUAAUUGACCUUGUUAACUGUGGAAUCAUAUUUAGAUGAUAAUAAGAAAGUUGUAGGUAACUUUAUAAGCUUUCCACAAAUAUAAGAAUUAUGUUUGCUGGAGGUCAACAACUCCAGUUAUGCUGCUUUGAAUUGCCUAUCAGUUUUCUGUGUGUAAUUGUACCCCUACUGUUUGGGCAGCAUGGGCAGUUUUGAUUGUGCAACUAAUUUCAUGAUAUAAAUGAUGUUUCUUGUGCAACUUGUCUAUAUACAAUAUGUAGAUAAUUUAUUAACAUAUCUUGUGGUAAAGUUUCAUAUCAUUUGGCUAAGUGGUUUAUGAGUUACAGUAGUAUGAAGUUCAUCCCCUGAAAUGCUUGUUCUCUGGAAAUUCCUGGACCAGAUUAUAUGGUCAUGCAUGUUUGACUUGGUUAACUUGUUAAUCAUGCUAAUAUGAUUAAAGAUGAAUUGUAUAUGAUUUUAUAAUCUUUCCAGAAUGUCCUAUUGCAUAGUUUUUGGAGCUGUGUAGCUCUAGUUAUGAAUUGUUUACUGAGUUGCUGCAUGUAUGUCCAAAAUUGCUGAAAAUGCAUGAAUGCUUGAUUGCUUUACUUGUUGUGUGCAAACUGUGAUUCAUGUCUUUAAUGGUGAUUAAGUAAUACACUUGUAACCUUGUAAAACUUGUGUCAUUAUUGAUAUGUUUGCUCUAUAUAAUUGGUCGUGUGAUGUUAGCUAAAUAACUUUAGAUGCCUAUGUCUUGCAUACUUUUCUGUGAUGCAUGUUGUGUUAUUAUUCUUUAUAUUCAUGCACUUGCAUCUUGCAUCUCAUCUAGGUGCGCUAGAUGAAUCACGUCAAGGUCUUGGUGUGGGAACAAACCCGAAGACAGUGUUGGGUGGACCCAUCCUGAAGGUGGAAGGACAAAGCAAGUGUUGUGACCUAAGAUGUCACCAAGAUGGAGCAACUAAUUGAACUGACUCCUUGUUGAUCCCAGGCAAGCCCCGGAGCAUUAUAAGUCUCCUACUACUUUUGAAUGCAAUUGAGAAUAUAUGUUAUAUAUGUAUUGUUGCAUUAAGUAUAGGAGUUGGGUGAAACCCUUGCUGCAUAUAUCACUCCUUGUCCAGUAAAUAUACCUAUACCCCUACGUAGAUUCAGAAUCGAAUCUAAAUGCUUAGUUAUGCUUAGACCGGUAAAGCCAGGUGACGUUGUGUCACCUGAGCCAAAUAGGUGAAUACCUGGAUAAGUUGGCUAUAUAUGCUAUCAUGGAAAUAACCAAGUGAUGAGGAUGAAUAAUUGGAGACCGGGCGGGACGAUGGUAGAGAAGUAACAAGACAUGGAGGUCUUGGGUGCCUAUCUAUCCCCGCAUGUGUCGAUUAAGGACCGAUCGUUGACAGCUCUCUUGUCAUGUUGAACGCAUGUCCCACACUUAGCUGGAAGGAUAAGUCGUUCCAACCGCGAAGCCUGAGCACUUUCCGGGCCGGGAAUCGGCCCGAUGUACGCGCUGUAUUGGUGAUGGUUGAGGAGAACGACGAGGGCGCGGCGCGCAACCUUGGUAUACCUUGGAUACCUCGGUCUCCGGAACGGUCCUCGGGUACGGGCGGUGCCUGUCGAACCCGCGAAUUGGUCCUGGAUAGUGCAAUACGGUGAUCUGUAGCUCACUUGAUCAGUGAGUGUGGUUUGUGUGGGGAAUAACUCGCCAGUUGGUUAGAAAUCGAUUCGAAUCGCCAUCGCUCCUGGACAGUGAGCACUUGACUUGAGCUUCGUCAUCGUAGUAAUGUUUAUGGAACACUUGGAAGGUUAUGGUAUGAUGAUGUUGGAAAUGCCACAUCAAAUAUGGGUACUAUGGUUGUAUCUUAAUCAAGUGAUUGCUUUAGUACAGGUGCUAAUCUAGAUGACAGGUUAAUAAUUAUUAACUUGAGCUAAAUACCUGAAAGGUUACUUAGUUGCAACUUAAGCUUUUUAUGCAAAAAGUGUUGUCAAGCUAGCUCCACCAAUAAAGCCUUGCAUACUCCUUGGUGUCAUAUUAUUUCUGGUUUAUGACGGGUAAGUCUAGCUGAGUACCUUCUCGUACUCAGGGUUUAUUCCCACUUGUUGCAGGUUGUGAUGUAUCAUGGCUACUGCAAGAGUUGGAUGAGUCCUACCAUAAUAGAGGAGUAAGAUCAUGGGCAUGAUCCUUCUUAGUUACCUCAUCUAUGUUGCUUUUGUUGGAGUUGACCUGAAUACUGGCAUGUAUUUGAAAUGAGGGCAAUAUUGGUUUCAAAUUACUUUACUUCCACUACUUUUCAACUCAAGUUGUAAUAAAUAUAUUAAACUCUGAUGUAUGUCAAACUACUUGUGAAAUGGAUGUAACAUGUGACUUGUUAUGUUGAAUCACUAUGAUCUUGGCUUGUAUGAUGGUUGGAUUGAAAUCCCUCGUGAUUUUACAAACUACCGGGUUUAUGAGAGUUCGACUAUGUUAAAGCAACUGCUUUGGCGGGAGUUUUUCAUAGUUGAUCUCUUGUAAAUUGGGCGGUUCUGUUACAAGUGGCAUGUAUUCGAUCCACUUCGAGAAUUUAUCGAUUAACACGAAGACGAACUUGAAGUUGCCGGGAGCUGGUUUAAAUGGCCCGAUCAUGUCGAGGCCCCAGCAGGCGAAAGGCCAGGAUGACGGAAUAGUUUGAAUCUCAUGAGCAGGUACGUGGGUCCUUUUGGCAAAGAACUGGCAUCCUUCGCAAUGUCGGACCAGUUUUUCUGCGUCGGUGACCGCGGUUGGCCAGUAAAAACCUGCUCGGAAAGUCUUCCCGACCAGUGUUCUGGAGGCUGCGUGGUUGCCGCAGGAUCCGGCGUGUAUGUCAUCUAGGAGCUUGAUGCCAUCAUCUUGGGAUAUGCAUUUGAGCAGCACUUCGGAACUUGCAUUUUUUUCGCAUAAGUUUGCCGUCCACCAGUAUGUAAUUCUUUGAUCGUCGAAUGAGGCGCUCGUUCUCCGUUUUAUCCUGAAAGCCUGACCCGUCCGAUAUAUACCUGAUGAACGGGGUGCGCCAAUCACGGAUGCUGGAUGUCGGAGUAGCGUCGUCUAUGAGCAUUGCCUCAAUAGGUUGCUUUUUGACCAGGUCUGUGCCCACACUUGGCUCAUGGAUGUCCUGGAUGAAAACACCUCGCGGGAUCUGGGCCCGAGAUGACCCUAACUUUGACAUCGCAUCCGCUGCCUGGUUCUUGUCCCGGACCACGUGGAUGUACUCUAUGCCAUAGAAGUUGGAUUCCCAUUUGCCGAUUUCUUUGCAGUAGAGAUCCAUCUUCUCGUGGGUUGCGUCCCAUUCCUUGUUGAGCUGGUUGAUAAAUAAAGCGGAGUCGCCGUGGACGUAGAGGCGUUUGACUCCCAACUCAACGGCUAGUCGUAUGCCAUGUAAGCAUGCUUCGUACUCAGCGACGUUGUUUGACGCCGGAAAAAGGAUCCUAAGGACGUAACGCAAUUUGUCCUUGUUAGGCGACACGAAAAGUAUCCCAGCGCCGGUGCCGUUGAUGUUCAAGGACCCGUCAAAGAACAUUGACCAGUGGUCGGAGACGUCGGAAACGGGAGGCUCGUUAAGAUCCGUCCACUCUACGAUGAAAUCGACCAGGGCCUGAGACUUGACUCUGGUGCGGCUCUGGAAAUCUAGGGAGAAUGGGCAUAACUCCAUUGCCCAUUUUACAAUUCUACCGUUGGCGUCUUUAUUGCGCAGAAUAUCACCAAGAGGGAAACUGGUGGUUACCGAGACCCGAUGGCCGUCGAAGUAGUGCUUUAGCUUCCUCGAUGUUAUUAGAAUGGCUUAUAUGAGCUUCUGUAUUUGUGGGUAUCUGGCCUUGGACUCAUUUAAGACUUCGCUUAUGAAAUAUACGGGUCUCUAGACCUUGUAGACGUGGCCUGGCUCGUCUCGCUCGACCACUAUUGCCGUGGAGACGACCCUGUCGGUUGCUGCAAUGUAAAGGAGUAGGUCUUCAUUGGGCUAAGGCACUGUGAGAACAGGCGGUGAGGUGAGGAAAGUCUUGAGCUGGGUGAACGCAGCGUCAGCUUCCUCUGUCCAGGAGAAUUUUUCUGACGCCUUCAAGAGUUUGAAGAAGGGAAGGCCUUUUUCUCCUAGUCUUGAGAAGAAGCGGUUGAGGGCGGCCAUACAUCCGGUGAGCUUCUGAAUAUCCUUGACGUUCUUAGGUGGUCGCAUGUCGAGCACUGCUUUUACUUUUGAAGGAUUUGGUCGUAUGCCGUCGCGGCUGACGACGUUGCCGAGCAGUAGACCAGAGGGGACCCCAAAGAUACACUUUUUCGGGUUAAGCUUCCACUUGUACUUGUUUAGUGCCUUAAAGGUUCGGUCUAAGUUAUCGAUUAGGGUGAUUGCGUCCCUUGUUUUGACGACGACGUCGUCUACAUAAGCCUCGAUGAGGUCAUCACGAAUCUCAUCGUGGAGGCAUUGCUGGAUGGCCCGUUGAUAGGUGGCUCCAGCGUUUUUGAGUCCAAAGGACAUGGUCGUGUAGCAGUAUGCGUCGAAGGGAGUAAUGAAAGAUGUUUUGAUCUGAUCAUCUUCCUUUAGCGAGAUCUGGUGAUAGCCAGAGUAGCAGUCUAGAAAAGAGAGGAGUUUGCAUCCGGCUGUUGAGUCGACCACCUCGUCGAUGCGAGGGAGACCAAAAGGAUCUUUAGGACAGUGUUUAUUGAGAUCAGUGUAAUCAACGCACAUUCUCCAUUCAUUAUUCUUUUUGCGUAUAAGAACCGGAUUGGUGAGCCAAUCGGGAUGAUACACUUCUUUUAUGAAUCCGGCUGCUAGAAGCCAUGUUAUUUUUGUCCUAAUAGCCUCCUUUUUAUCACGAGCGAACCGUCGCAGCUUUUGCUUGAUGGGUCUUGCGGUCUUCGAGACAUUUAAGGAGUGCUCGAUCAGGUUUCGUGGGACGCCGGGCAUGUCUGCGGGUUUCCAUGCGAAAACGCUCACGUUGUCCCUUAGAAACCUGACGAGCGCGUCUUCCUAUUUAGGGUCCAGGUUGGCCCCGAUGAGGGCCAUUUUCUCGGGGCUGCCUUCGACCAGCUGUACUUCCUUGUACUCCUUGGAUUUUGAAAUCUUCCUGGCGGUCUCCUGCUCGGGUAGUCGGAGCUGGUCGGGAGGGAGCUGUGCGGCUUGGCUUGCUGUUUCUGCCAUGCGAAUUGAAAGAUCAAUUGCUUCAGUGAUCUUGAAGCUCUCCUCCUUGUAGGUAUAUGCAGUGUAGACAUUGCCUCUGACAGUUAGGAUGCCCUUCUCUGUAGGCAUUUUGAGGACCAGAUAUGAGUAAUGUGGAACUGCCAUGAACUUUGUCAGCGAUGGUCGGCCCAGUAUGGCGUGGUAGGUUUCAUCGAAGUCGGCGACCACAAAGUUGACGAACUCUGUUCGAAAGUGGUCGGAUGUGCUGAAUUGGACAGGCAGUGUUAUCUGUCCGAGGGGCACUGAACUUUGACCUGGCAAGACUCCCCAGAAUUGAGUGUCGUAGGGCUUUAGCUGUGCCGGGGUUAUCUUGAGAGCAGGCAAGCUGUUGCGAAAAAGGAUGUCAAUGGAGCUUCCCCCAUCGACGAGCACGCACUCGAAUCUGAUGCUGUUGAUGCAAGGAUCCAGUAUUAGAGGGAAACGUCCUAGUUCCGGGAUGGUGGCCCACUGGUCCUUCCUGCUGAAGGAGAUUUCCCUGUGCGACCAGGGAGGGAAUUUCGGGUCAGCGAUUAGGCCAUCCGUGGUGUCUAUAUUGAGGCAGGCUCUUUUUAAGAGCUUUCUUUCUCGCUUAGACUCGGUGGAGACCUUGCCCCCAAAGAUGGAGUGGACCACGUCGGUGGGACUGACAUACUAGUGUCGUGGGUCCCUAUCCUGGUUAGGACGCGCAUUCCUCCAUCGUGUGGCUGGACUUUGGAUGCAGCUGGCAUGGUCCCUUCAACGUCUUGUUGUAGUCGUCCUGGUAGUCUCGCCGCCCAUUGGGACGCUUGACCGUAUUCACCUCGUGGUCGUGGUCAUGAGGGCGCUUGCCUCUGAAGUCAUCGCGGUUGUCACACCGCCUGUCCCAGCCUUCUCUGUGGUCCCGAUUGUCGGGGCGACGAUGGUUCCUAUUGUCGAAACGACCUCAACUGUCAUCUCGUCGAGGGGGCUGGUCGGGACCUCUCGCAUCGUCCCGGAUGAGUUUUUCUGCGUCGUCGGCGUCAGCGUAGUUUUUAGCCGUGGCAAGAAGCUCGGCCAUCGUUGUUGGUCUUUUGCGCAGCAGCUUGUUCUUCAGUGCUUCAUGGAAGUGCAGCCCCUUGAUGAAAGCAGAUAUGGCCUCGUCGUGGGAAAUUUUCGGGAUCUUAAGGCGCAUAUCCGAGAAUCGUCGGAUGUAAUCGCACAGAGGCUCGUUUUUCCUGUCCCUUAUCCUUUCGACGUCGUACUUGUUCCCAGGCUGCUCGCAGGUGGUGAUGAAGUUGUCGAUGAAAGCUUGGCAUAGUUCUUCCCAAGAAUCGAAAGAGUCCUCGGGCAGGCCUAGGAGCCACUGGUGACCAGCCUGGUCGAGGACUACUGGGAAGUUGUUGGCCAUGACGUGCUCAUCUCCUGCUGCUGAUCGGACGGCGAUCUCGUAAAGAGUGAUCCAGUUUUCUAGGUUUUCCUUGCCGUCGUAUUUUUUGAGUUUCUCGAGCUUGAAAUUGUGGGCCACACGACCUGGCGGAGGUGUGAAGAGAACUGUCUCAGGCCCGGGGGACCAUGCGUUGCAUCGUACUCAAUGCGACGCAGGUUUUCGUGAACUGCUCUCUCCGUGGCGCGCCUGUUGAUGCGGUCCCGGGCGUCUUUGGGAGGGAUAUUGUAUCGGAGAUCCCUGUGCUAGUUUACUUCCUGACCACGUCCGCGAUUAUGCUCGCGAUGGCCGCCAGCAUCCCGACCACCAUCAUCGCGCCGUGAAUCUUUUCGAUGAUUAUUGGGGGAACGGCUGCGGUGGUGCCUGCUGGGUUGUGGUGAGGUCUGGCUGUGAUGGCUCUGGUCGGAGGAGACCUCUGUAUAGGAGAUAGCUUGGACUCUUUUGAGCAGAGUGGCUGUCUGUCCCAUCGUGGCGAUCAGGUGUGCUCGAACGCUGGAUCGGACGCCCUGGCAUUCGGGAGUAUCAGGGAGUCGAUCUAAGUUGGCCAUGGCAACAGCCACGUUGGCGCUUGGUGUUUUGUAGACUGGCUGAUCCCCGACCAUGUCGAAAGCGUCGGUGAGGUUAUGUGGUGGGAGUUGGCGUUCCUCGUCUGCGCGUCAUCGGGUGCGGUCAGCAUUGCGCUGCUCGCGGAGCUGCCUUUGCUCGUCUGUUUCUCCGUCAACGACCGGCUCGUCGGCGCUGACAUUGAAAACGAGGUCUCCACGCCGAGGUGGAAAGACCGGGAAGCAAGAGAAACCCGGAGGAUACGGUGGUAAAUCCAGGUCGUAGUCUUCGUCCUCAGAGUUUAUGACUUCAGUAGGAACGGAGCCAGUGCUAGAGUUUGUGCUGGAAGCCUGGCCGUCCCGUAGUUCUCGGAUCGUCACCAUGUUGAUGUAGUGACGAGUUGGCCGAUUCUUCCGCUUUGGCAACCAACCAGCCCCGUUGAAGAGGGAUUUGAUGUGUCGCGAGUAAUCAACGGUCGAAUUGUCCAGCCCGUAAGGAGAGCCUUGAUCUGGACCAGCCUCGAGUUUGACGGACCAUCCUGAGGGGGUGGAGGUUAUCGUCAGAGACGUUCCCAGCUGUUCGUGUGUGACGACACAAGUUGGCUGGUAGGAGUUGUAAAAACCCGUUGGCGCGGCUUGGUCAGGCUGGUGUGAGAUCCCAUCUAUUAGUUGGGAGGCUUCGAGAAGCUUGAGGUCGGCGCGAUCAAGAGCUCGGAAAAGGUCCGAGCCAUCGAUCUUCUUUCCCCUGUAGCGCGGAAACGGCGGUCGGGUGCUCGGUGCCGGUGUCCGCGUGGUCAGAGCCGAUGCCUCCAUCGUCCCAGAUUGGAUCUGGGUUUCUUCCGAAACCGUGGCCGUGAGGCCACCGCCGCGAGUUGUCCACGUAAUCUGGCCGACGGUGAACGUGAGGCCUUCAGGCACGGCCACAGAAUCUGGAACGAUGACCAUCUUGUUCGCUGGAAAAGCUGUAUGCACACCCCCUACCUGGCGCGCCACUGUCGACGAAAGCUAGUCGGCAGUCUACCCUGGGGUAUACCCACGGUAGUAAUUUAUCGGUAGACGGUGCGCAAGCUACGAACUUGACGGUGACGCAAGACACAGACAAGGUUUUUAUCCAGGUUCGGCCGCCGUGUGGGCGUAAUACCUACGUCCUUCGUCUGAUUGUAUUGGAUUGUGUUGAGAGAAUCUCCUAGGGGGGUCCCUUGCCUCUCCUUAUAUAGUCCGGAGGGUAGGGUUACAGAUCUGGAAACUAAUCCUAGUCGGUUACAAUUGUCAUAGAUAGUUCGAUAUCAAUUCCUAUUCUAACCGACUAGAAUCCUGCUUGAUCUCCACGUCUUGUUUCCUUGCGCGAAACUCCGAGCUUGUCGGAUCAAGCCUCGAACUUGUCUCGUAAUGGGCCAAGCCUCCUGGCCCAAGUCUAGCCGUAAGGGUAUAGGGGUUUAUACCCCCACAAAUAUAGGUUUAAGCAUGGUGCUUAGACCUAGAUUACUUGUGGAUAUCCCCUGUCUAGCUGGAUCGUGUGGUAGGCCGCGUAGGUGACAGUUACGUUGGUCCCCUGUAGUCCACCUCUUGUUAGCAGGACGGGUAGGGUUUAUAGGCCUAUGGAUAAGCAUCCUUUGUGGUGUAUUCUUAUCACGUGGUUCGUCCCAGACAUAGACAUACCCCUUUGAAGUAGAGAAACCAUAGUUAUCCUCUCUAUUCUGCUACCAUCGCCCAUAUAUUAGAUUGCUCUACUCUCUAUUCCCAUAUUAUCACCCAUUGUUAUUUUACCUUUAAUAUUGUUCUUAUUCAAUUCUACCAUCUUUCCUAUUUACACCUACCUAUCUAUCUAGGUUAAGUUAGAGCGUAGAUCAGUUCUCCCGUUUCCCUGUGGAUAAGAUAAAACCUUUAACCGGGUAAAAGCUACAACGGUAUCCGUGCGCUUGCGGAUUUAUCUGUGUGCGUAUAAAUACCAUAGUACACUCUAGUGCCAUGUUGGGGAUGACAACCUAGUAUUCAAGUGGUGUUAGCAAGUGUGAACAAAGACCUACCAAGCAGAAACUGCGACGGUUCGCUCGUGACAAAAAGGAGGCUAUUAGGACAGAAAUAACACGGCUUCUAGCAGCCGGAUUUAUUAAAGAAGUGUAUCAUCCCGAUUGGCUCGCCAAUCCAGUUCUUGUAAGAAAAAAGAAUAAUGAAUGGAGAAUGUGUGUUGAUUACACUGAUCUCAAUAAACAUUGUCCUAAAGAUCCUUUCGGUCUCCCUCGUAUCGACGAGGUGGUCGACUCAACGGCCGGAUGCGAACUCCUCUCUUUUCUAGACUGUUACUCUGGUUAUCACCAGAUCUCACUAAAGGAAGACGACGAGAUCAAAACAUCCUCUAUUACUCCUUUCGGUGCAUAUUGCUACACCACCAUGUCCUUUGGACUCAAAAAUAUCGGAGCCACCUAUCAACGAGCUAUUCAGUAAUGCCUCCACGACGAGAUACGAGAUGACCUCGUCGAGGCUUAUGUCGAUGACGUUGUCAUCAAAACUAGGGUCACAAGCACCCUGAUCGACAACUUAGACCGGACUUUUAAGGCGCUGAAUAAAUACAAGUGGAAGCUUAACCCCAAAAAGUGUAUCUUUAGGGUCCCCUCUGGUUUACUACUCGGCAACGUCGUCAGCCGCGACGGCAUAUGGCCAAAUCCUUCAAAAGUUAAAGCUAUGCUCGAUAUGCGACCACCCAGAAACGUCAAAGACAUUCAAAAGCUCAUCGGAUGCAUGGCCGCUCUCAGCCGGUUCAUCUCCAGAUUGGGGGAAAAAGGCCUUCCCUUUUUCAAACUGCCCAAGGCGUCGGAAAAUUUCUCCUGGACUGAAGAGGCCAACACGGCAUUCACCAAGCUCAAGGCCUUCCUCACCUCACUGUUGAUGGUCCUUAAGUAUCAAAUUUAAUUAUCAAAUAAAUAAAGAAAAUGAUCCAAAUGAAAUCAACAUCUAGACUUAGGGUUUUAUCUGAUAGAAUUCCACGAGUUUUGGUGUUUGUCUAUUUCUGCAGGAGGUUAUUAGGAAAUACGGAAGAAAGGCCCACACGUCGGGAUUACAUAGAGAUAUUAACGUGUCGCGCAAUUAUCUUACAUCUAGAAGACUCCAGAAGACACGGGAAGAAAGCGGUGGCCGAACGGGGCCAGAGGCAGGGCGCCCGCCAUCCUUCCCUGGGCGCCCGCCCCCUCUGAGAGUCCAAUCAGGACUCUGUUUCUCGGGAGAUCUCCACCGACCUAAAGGAUCAAGGAUAACCGUUCAAUCUAAGUCGGUUUGAUCCAACGGUCCAUAUUCACUUGAAGGGACUAUAAAACCAGAACCCCUGGCCCCUGGAGGAGAGAGUCUCUCAACACUAAUUCAUUAUUCUCAAGGGAGAAGAAGCCUCUGAUCAAGAUUAGAGCCACCACAUCAAUUAGACAUCUAGAUUAGCAUAGCUACAUAGGAUUAGAACUAGAAGGAGUCAAUCUUCGAUUGGUUUCCGGAUCUGUCAAGAGGAUUCUUGGUAAUUCUCUAAUUGUGCUUCUAAUUGCUUUCUAAUUAUCUUUGUUCUUCAAUAUUAUGAAUAUGACUUUGUUCUACUUCAAUAUAUUGCUUAUGACUUUGCUCUACUUGUUUAUAUUCAAGAUUAUAUUGUUCUUAGUUUAUCAUAGUUAUGUACUUGGCUUAGUUAGAUUGGAUCUAUAUACAUGCUUAGGAUCGUAUAGCGUUUAUCCAUCGGAUCCAUGGGUAAAUGAUAGAUAUUGUGUAGGCGUGGUGCUUAUACCGUAUUUAUCUGCGAUUGUACCCAAUAUGCCAGAUUGUGGGGUAGUUCGUGAUAGUGACAGCUUCAUUGAUUCUUAUAUAGUCCCCCUCUCGUGUAUUGGGCUGGCAGAGCAAUAUUAUUACAGGGGAGUGAUUGCUAUGUUUCUCAUUUACCUUGCUAAUAUCACUAUGCAUGGGCGUAGUCUUGUCUUGCAAAGAUUGCUAAGUAUGCUUGCACUAAUUAUGAUAAUGCUAGACUAUAUAGUUGAGAAUAACUUAGGAAAUAUUCUUGUAGUUCAUUCUAAUUCCAUGCUAAUGACUUUCUAGAGUAUCUAAUUGAGGUGCUUAUCAUAUUUAUUAUGUGGCUAAGUUAUGAUCAGCUUAAUUAUCUUUGUCACUAUUCAUUAUUUCAUAUAUCUUAUAUGUGACACUUAUCCCUGUAUGAAAGAGUUAGAUAGAUGUUCUCAAUUAUAUAUGCAAUGAUAGAUACUCAAUCUCAUAUUCUAUUCUGUAAUCAAUAUUGAUGAUUGCUAAUCCCUUCCCAGUGGUAAAAAUAUAAAUAACGAUACCUGGAAUACUUCCCGGUUAAAAUGCUACAUUGGUAUUAAUCUGUGCGCUUGCAGAUCCCAUUCAUUAUUUAUUUAGAAGAGCAAUUUCAUAUUUCAAUACCGCGUCUCUCAUAUCAUGCUGGGGAUGACAACUUGGCUUAAGUGGUGUGAGGGAUAGGUUUGGCUUUUUUGGCACCGUUACUAGAAUUAGAAAACUAAUUCUACUUUUGGUAAUGAUGUUAAGAAUACCCAACAAGCAUUUUUGGCGCCGUUGCCGGGGAAGGUUGAUUACUAAUUAGGAAUGGAAUAAAGGAUUUUGAGUUAUCAUUCGCAUCACUAAUAUGAUUGAGCUUAUCUAUUCUCUCAUACAGUUUUACCCUGAUAUUUUUCUAUUUUAUCUUAUGCAGGGGAAUGUAUGAAUAGAAGACAUCUUCUAGGAAAUUUUGUUGACAAUCCCGAAGCAUUAUUCAAGAAGACAAGAGCCAAGCUAAAGAAGAGAUCAUCAACACUUCAGCAAGAAGCUUCAUCCAAUCAAGAAGAUCACCGAAACUUGUCUUCAGAGUUUGAAGCCAUAGCGAACAAAUCAAUCCGCGAGUUCUCAGCUCCCACUACGGACAACAUCUGCACUGGACCUACUGCAGAGAUCGAUGGCAACUUUGAGCUCAAGCCUAGACAUAUCAACAUGGUGAAAUCCAACCAGUUCUGUGGGAAGGCACACAAAGAUGCUAGUGCUCAUCUACAACACUUCCUGUAGAUUUGCAACACAUUUACCAUAUCUGGAGUUUCCAGAGAUGCUAUACUACUUCGCCUCUUCCCAUUCUCACUGUUAGGGAGAGUGAAGCAGUGGUUCUACGCUACAAAGGAGAAGAAUACUACGUGGGCACUCUGCUCAACAAACUUCCUGGCUAAGUUCUUUCCCAUGGGCAAGACCAAUGCUCUCCGUGGGAAGAUUACAAGUUUUCAUCAACAAAAUGAUGAAUCUGUUCCAGAAGCAUGGGAGCGCUUUCAAGACUACAUCCUAGAAUGUCCCCAUCAUGGAAUGGAGAGUUGGCUAUUGAUGUAGAUGUUUUAUCAUGGGCUCGGCAACAGUGCCCGAGAAACCAUGGAUGCUGCAGCUGGAGGAGCAUUCCUAUCACUUACCAUAUCACAAGCCACAGCUCUUGUGGAGAAGAUGGCGUCCAACCAAAGCUGGAAUGAAGAGAGGACCCAAACACGCAAGAGAGGUGGAGGUAUGCAUCAGCUGAAGGAGGUAAACAUGCUGUCUGCAAAGCUAGACCUACUCAUGAAGAAGCUCGAUGAUAGAGCUAGAGAUAAGAAAGAAGUUAUGCACAUCUACGACUCUCACAUGACUUGUGAGGAGUGUGGAGAUACUGGACACUCAGGCAAUCGCUGCCCUGAGAUACUUGAGGAUGUGAACUACAUCAACAACAACAACAACUACUACUACUACUACUACAACCGUCCUCAACAAAAUCAAGGUUGGAAUCAACAGAGGCCUAACUACUCAGGUAAUUAUCAAGGUAACAAUUCUUACAACAAUAAUAAUAAUUUUCCACCUCUGAGAGAGUUAGUGUCUAAUCAAGGAAAGCUAAUGGAUAACCUAUCUAAGAGAUUGGCAUCAAAUGAUAAAAUGCUAGAAAAUAUAAAUAAUAGAAUGGAUAAUUUCUCUACUGCCAUCAAGAAUCAAAUUAGCUUUAAUAAAAUGAUUGAAUCUCAGUUAAAUCAAAUAGCUGCUGUUGUUCCUACUACUAACCCCGGUAUACCAUCACAACCGGAAGGAUUAGAAUCUACAAAUCUUGUAGACAUGAUUGAUGCAGGUAAUUGGAGAAACCCCGUCACUGAAUUUACUACUGACCUUCUGCCGGUCAAGAGAGGCGAUCCAGGACGCCCCGUCAUCCCGAUCUCCAUCGGCAUGGUGGACGUCCCAGAAGCACUCUGCGACUUUGGCUCCAGCGUCAACAUUAUACCAAGGGUACUCUAUGAAAAACUCUUUACAUAUCCUUUAUUAAAAACAACCAUGUGUUUGCAGUUUGCAGAUCAGACGAUAAGUUUUCCAAAAGGAAUAUUGAAGAACCUUUGUGUCAGAGUUGGUACCUUGUACGCCCCAGCAGACUUCGUAGUGAUAGAGACCGGUAAUGAUGAGAGAGCACCCAUCAUCUUAGGGAGGCCAUUCUUAAACACCUCGGGAGCUGUCAUCUAUGCUAGUGCUGCCAAGAUCAGUUUCUACAUCAAAGGGAGGAAGGAGACAUUUUUCUUCAAGAACAAGACUACACAAAUCCCAGAUCAAUCCAGACGUGAAUCAAGGAAGAGGACCAACACGAGGAACAGGAACAAGCGAGUGUGGACCGAGUCAGGUAAGAUGGUCACUGCAGUUCAUGGAGGUCAAGAUCAUCAACUUAAGUCACCAUUUUUGACCAAGAAGGACAACCCAGGAAUGCCAAGCAUCUAUUGCUCCAUAAAUGGAUGCAACUUCUACAAGACGACUUGCGACACCGGAUCGGGCGUCAACAUAAUGGUCGUAGUCACCUAUCGGCUCUUGCUCGGAACCAUGCCCCUAAGACCAACAUACAUUCAGCUCCAGAUGGCAGAUCAGACAUUUCAAGAAGUUAAAGGAACAGUAAUUGAUGUCCUAGUCAAAAUAGAUGAUCAUUUUGUCUACACAGACUUUCAAGUUAUUGACAUGGGAGAAGAUGAAUACGAUCCACCCAUCAUCCUUGGAAGACCGUUCCUCAGCACCGUCAAAGCAAUCAUCUACAUUGGAACCGGAGAAGUCCAUAUGCACUUCCCCUCAGAGAAGGUACGCCAUUCUUUUAUUGACCCUAACUAUAUCGUUGAAGAAUCUAAGCAGGUAAGAAAAUGACGCAACCGCAACUAGUGGAGGGAAAUCAUCAAGGACGGGUGGGCAAACUAUGAAGGAGAAGUUGUAAGGUCAGAAGACGUAGAGUUUAAAUAGAAUUAUCCAGAGGAGACCGAAGCACCGAGUCAGGUAUGGAAAGAGAAGAUAACUAUACACGAAGAGGAGGCGCUGCUGAAAGUACCGACUCCGCCAUCCAACGAAUCCAAGGACAAUUGAGAAAACGGAGAGUCCCGUUCGGAGGACUUAAAAACACCGAACGCCUUGCCAAGAGUUCCACAAGCUUUAUUGUCUAUUUGAGCUCCGCAGAAUUUAAGAAUCAAGAAGACUAGCAGAUGAAGGACAUUCUAAUCGCUGUCAGAAUCCUGCUGACUUUCAAAUACACCUCUACCACCUGCUACCUACAUCAAGAGAAAUUACGUCAAAAUUCAGUUUGGGGGAGAGCACCCCCAUUUUUCCCGAUAAGUAUUUCUAUCUAUCUAUCUUUAUACUUAUACUAUAUUAAAAUAUAAAUAUACAUAAACCAGGAAAAACCAAAUAAAGAUUUUGUGCUUAUAUAUCUUUUGCUUAGUGUGUUUAAUAAAUAAAUAAAGUGGCUAAGCAAAUCUGUAUCUUAAUAAUAAAACUCUAGCACGGAUAUGAUGAAUAGUUGCUCUGCCUAAUUUGCACAUUUUAAGUUCUCUCUCAAGUUUAGAUAUAACUGUUAUAAUGUAAAGCUUGCUCUAGACCUAAACUUGUGGGAUGAAAACUUGAUCUAAAGUCUAAGUUGUUAACGGGUAUGAAAUUGGAAGGUUGAGCUGCUGUUUAUCUGUUCCUAGAGAUGCUAGAAUUCUGGAGAAUUUUAUCUUUUAAAAUCUUUAAAAUAUUGCAUGAUGAGUUCGUGUAUGAUGAGAGUUUAAAUUCCAACCACAGCCAUAUAUACAUGCUUGCUAGACUUUGAGCCACACAUUUACUAUUUACUGCUUAUGAGCAUUGAGUGUGGUCAAGCUGUGUAGACCCUUAGGAGCUUGUCAUGUGGUUAAAUCAAGAUUUCACUUGCACGUUCACUCAUAUAUGCUACUUCUAUUUUGGAAGUACCAUCCACAUAUAUCCAUCCAUUUCCAUCUCCAGAACCACCAAAAAAAAUAUUCUACUCCUAAUCCGGGAGAGAAUAGACAAAAAUAUUUUUGUUUUUCCCUGUGAAAUAAAUGCUCAAGUUAUCUUGUUACUACCACUUGCUAUAAUAUCUCAAGAGAUGAGUGCUCUAAAAAAAAGAGAGAGAUACGAGGAAAUAAAAAGGGGCAAGUGCCCGGAACCUCAAAAGAAAAGAAAAAGUGAAACGAGAGGUAAAAAUGGACAAGUGUCCGACAGUAGAAUUAGGGGUACAAGAUACCCACCUGAGAGAAAAGAAAAAGAAGAGCAUCUCAUUCUCCUCAUAAAGUUUCAAAAAGCAAGGAAGGUAUGUAUCCCCUCAAAAGAGCAAAAGUAGAAUUAGACAUCCACCAUUGUUAUCACCAUCAUCACCAUACACCAUUCAUUCGCCACACAUGCACAUCUUGAUUUGGCUUAAUGAUUUGUUUCUUUGGAUCCAUGGUUUGACUAUACAAUACAUGUCUUGUAAGUAUGUAUACUUUAUCUCCCACCUAUGAGCCCUAGAUAUUAAAGCCUUAUUAGAGUAGGGUGAGAGAGAAGGCAAUGUCACUAUGCUUUAUACCACAAAUACCACAUAUAUUGAGAGAAGGCAUAUAUCAUCACUGCCUUGGUAAGGAUCCAGAAAUACCACAACAGAG